UACGUAGGGUGCGAGCGUUAAUCGGAAUUACUGGGCGUAAAGCGCACGUAGGCGGACUGGAAAGUCAGAGGUGAAAUCCCAGGGCUCAACCUGGGAACUGCUUUCAAAACUGCUGAGCUAGAGUACGGUAGAGGGUGGUGGAAUUUCCUGUGUAGCGGUGAAAUGCGUAGAGAUUUGGAGGAAUACCAGUGGCGAAGGCGACCACCUGGCCUAAUACUGACACUGAGGUGCGAAAGCAUGGGGAGCAAACAGG
rnacentral:rRNA from 1 species